UUUUAGACUGAAGAAAUAAAAAAAAAAAACCCAAACUACACGCCAUAAACCCUAACUUGCUCGCUGAAGAUCGAUCUCAUCUGAUCUCAUCACUUGAAAUUGUUGAAUUUUCGUUCCUCUCUUCUGUAUUAUCUUCAAUUUUCGGUAAUCUCCUCGCUCUUGUCAUCAAUUUUCGUAAUAUCCUUGUUAUAGGCAUCAAUUUCGUAGGUUUUGAUUGAUAUAUUAUUCACUCAAAUUAUGUUGCUUAUGCUUAAUCUUUGGUUAUUCAUUGCAUGUUAUGGGAAUUCUUUUUGCUAAUGGGAUUUCGAAACGACCGACGCAGAGAAGUCAAGAAUAUAUAUCACGCAGGUGACAGAGGAGGAGCUUGUCUAAAAAUUGUUCUAGAUUGUGAUAGUUGCUGCACUUAGCGAGUUGGCCGAGGUGUUUGAAGGAACAUCUGGAAUUGACAACAAAUAUACUACCGUGCAGUUCACUGGUGAGGUAUGACUUAUCGAGUAAAAAGAGAAAGGGCUGCAUCUACUGCCCCUUGUGCAUAUAUGAGUGGAGAUGCAUCACAUGAUUUUCUAUCUAUAGGAGAUGAGCAUGGAGAAAAGAUGAGCUUAUUAGCUCUCUGGAUAAAAGCUCAUACAGGCAAGAAUGGAAGUUUUCUUCCGGGCACAGUUACCGAAGAUUUUUUGGAUGAUGUGAAAGUUAAAGUUGAACAGUUGAGGUUGAUAAACCCUUCUAAGUCCUAACAGGAGGAUGAAGCCUUUGAGCUGACCAUGCAUGGUGGAGAGAUCCCUGAUCGUCCUAUAGGUUACGAACUUGGGGUUCGAAAGAGCGACAUUUACGGGGUGCAUGCUUUGCUAAGGAAGGACGGGUCUAGAAGAAUUAAACAAAGGACUGGUAAUGGAUAGUAAUGUGAAAGAAGAAAUGUCUACUUUGCACAAAAAAAUUGAAGUACUUGAGAAGGAAAAUGAAAAGCUAAAAGACCAAGUACAAGAGAAUAAUAUUCUUCUUAAAACCCUUAUCGGACAGUUUUCUCAAAUUGUUGGUGGAGUUAAUGAUGGAAAGGGUUCAACAGAACUUCUUAACUGUGCCAAAUCAGUCUUAUUUUCUAUCUAUUCUGAUAAAAUUAAAGAACAACCAUCAUUUUCAUAUAUUAAAGCUGUCAAUAUGUUUUGUUUUGUUAUUGCUGGUGGUUGUGGCUGUUGCUGUUGAGUGAUGUUGUGCAUUGCUCGUGGUCUGUUUGUUGAUCUGCAUUGCUAUUGCAGGUCUAUUUGUUGCUGUGCAUUGUUGGUGGUCUGUUUGUUGUUGUGCAUUGCUGUUGUGCAGAUAUGUGCCCUUACAACCCAAACUACAACGACCCAGCAAAAGGGCCAAACACCUAUCAAUUACCUGAGCACCUACCCUUUUGCAAACAAGAAGAGUGCUCAUCAAUCUGCAUCCACGAGCUAAUACUGGAAAUGCAAUGUCUGCUGUUAUGAAUGCAACAGGAGAACAAGGAAAAUCUACUAAAGAUGGAAAUUAGCCUACUAUGCACCUUUUUUUUUUUAUAGUCAGUUAGUAUUUAACUUAUGUAGGCUUCAAUCUAACUUUUUAAUUUAGUUGGCAGUUGAUAUAUGUAAUAAUAAUGAUGAUAUUUU